CCUACGGGAGGCAGCAGUGGGGAAUAUUGGGCAAUGGGCGUAAGCCUGACCCAGCAACGCCGCGUGAAGGAAGAAGGCUUUCGGGUUGUAAACUUCUUUUUUCAGGGACGAAGCAAGUGACGGUACCUGAGGAAUAAGCCACGGCUAACUACGUGCCAGCAGCCGCGGUAAUACGUAGGUGGCAAGCGUUAUCCGGAUUUACUGGGUGUAAAGGGCGUGUAGGCGGGACUGCAAGUCAGAUGGGAAAACCAUGGGCUCAACCUAUGGCCUGCAUUUGAAACGGUAGUUCUUGAGUGCUGGAGAGGCAGGCGGAAUUCGUAGUGUAGCGGUGAAAUGCGUAGAUAUUAGGAGGAACACCGGUGGCGAAGGCGGUCUGCUGGACAGCAACUGACGCUGAGGCGCGAAAGCGCGGGGAGCAAACAGGAUUAGAUACCCUUGUAGUC
rnacentral:rRNA from 1 species